UGCAAGCACGUCUCAUCAUUUCACUUUCCAUUUCAAUUUCAAUUCAAUUACACAGUACAACAGCUAAUCUGGGGGGUGAGAAAUUCCAAGUCAGGGUGAUGGUACUAGACAACGCUUUUAAUGAACCUUUCUUCCACCGACUUUGGUUCACAUUGUUGGAGUUCGUCGGCUUUGGUGUCUGAAAGACUUGGUGGCAUCUGCUGUACUGCACAAAAUUUCGAGAUAGCUUCUUAUUCCACUUACAGAUACUUAUUUUACCAGGAGCUCACUAACCUACUUUUCCAACUGUGUCAAAGGGCAAUGACUUGAAGGACCACUACUAGUUCCAAAGAUGCUUAGUUUGUUCCGUCGUAAUUAUGUUAUGCUUUCAUAUGGAUUCAAUAACAAAAGUCUGCAAAAGAAAGUUGA